GCGCAUCUCCAUCUCUAUGGCAGGGAGGAGCCGGACCGGGAAGGGAGGCCGGCGGGGCUGGGGGCUCUGCCCGCCGCUGCCGGCGCGCGGCCAGGGGCGGCUCCGGGCGCUUUCGCGGCAGGGGCCGCAGGGCAGCCCCAGGCAUUUCCAGCACGGGAGACACGGGUCGGGCUGUAAACGUGUAGCCCUUGAGCAUUUCACCAGUUUGUCCAGAUCAUUUUGAAUUUUAAUCCUAUCCUCCAAAGCACCUGUACUCCCUCCCAUCUGGGUAUUGUCUGCAAACUAUGUAUACACUCUAUGCCAUUAUCUAAAUUAUCAAUGAAGAUAUUGAACAGAACUGGACCCAGAAUUGAUCCCUUCUAGCUUGACUGUGAACCACUGAAAACUACUCUCUGGAAAUGGUGAAAUAAAGUGUGGGGAUGCCAGGAAAAUUACCAUCUCUAAUAUAAGCAGCGGCCAGUACGUCCCUCGGCCCGUGCCAUUUCCAGCAGCUCCCAUUGGCCUGGAGCAGCGAACCGCGGCCACUGGGAGCCGUGAUCGGCCGAACCUGCGGACGCAGCAGGUAAACAAAGCAGCCCGGCCCACCAGGGGCUUUCCCUGCACAAGCGGCGGAACAAGUUUGGGAACCACUGACACCUAGAAAUGGCUGACAUUUUAUGAGACAGGCCUGACCGAAAGACCUUGAAAUGAACACCUCCCCUCAAUUUUUUGGAGAAUUCAGGUCUGGAUCCUAAGUUUGUGACUCUGACCCCUACUUUACAGUGGUCUGAGCUAAAAACCUACAUCUGUACAACUCUAAGUAUUGGGAAAGUUCCAGUCUGAGUACACACCUUGUAGCUUGGAUCUACUUCUUGUCAUAAUUAGACCUACAUCUAUGCAACCCCGCUGAUCUGAUGUAUCUAAAUACACAGUGCAACACACAAGUCUUAAGUACAGUAAUUGUUCAGGACCAGGCCAAAUGAAAAUACAGUAUGAGCCUCCGUUGCUCUCCAGUGGAAAUUAAUGGACUAGCUAUUAGUUAGAUCUUCACUACCUGAUUAGCUCUUGCAUUUUUUGAAAUAGCAUUUUUUGCUAAUUUGAUAGACUUUGUAACCUUAGCAAUAUAAACAGUAAUAUUAGUUCAAGCGAUACAGUUCAUUAUAGCAUUAAAACUCAGAGAAAGCCAGUAGUUCAUAGCAAUCCACAGAAAAUUUCUGCGGUGGCAUUCUCCAAAACAAUCUUGAAAUAGCUGAUGAAAAUUGUGGAAUACGGAGUAUCUAACACUUUUUCAAAUCUAAGUUUCUCUUUUUCUGUCUCUAAUGUUAAAAUAGUAUAGAAAUUAGCCCAUAUUAUUCAUAUAUGAAUAUAAUAUAUCCAGAUUGGAGCUCAUCAUUCCAUAUUUUAGGGAUCGUUCAUUAUAAACCAUUUUUUAUCAGCAAGUGUACAUUUUUUUCCAAAAGUUUUUACCAGUAUUGAAAUGUAUACCUAAUAUUAAUUCCUUGAAAUACUUCAUAAAACUACAUGAUGAGAGAUGAGCAAAGUCCUUGAACUUAGCACUGGGCUGGGAACCACGAGCUACUGAAUUCUAAUUCCAGCUCUGUCACUGACUCAAAAUGUGACCUUAAGCAAUUCACUUAACCUCUUUGUGCCUCAACUUCUUCAUAUAUAAUUAGUGGAUAAUAAUGUUUGCUUGCUUCUCCAGCAUAUUGUGAGGCUUCACUCAUUCAUGUAUUUAUAAUAAAGUAUUAUUAUCACAAUUAAA